rnacentral:rRNA from 1 species
AUGUUAGCGGCGGACGGGUGAGUAACACGUGGGUAACCUGCCUGUAAGACUGGGAUAACUCCGGGAAACCGGGGCUAAUACCGGAUGCUUGUUUGAACCGCAUGGUUCAAACAUAAAAGGUGGCUUCGGCUACCACUUACAGAUGGACCCGCGGCGCAUUAGCUAGUUGGUGAGGUAACGGCUCACCAAGGCGACGAUGCGUAGCCGACCUGAGAGGGUGAUCGGCCACACUGGGACUGAGACACGGCCCAGACUCCUACGGGAGGCAGCAGUAGGGAAUCUUCCGCAAUGGACGAAAGUCUGACGGAGCAACGCCGCGUGAGUGAUGAAGGUUUUCGGAUCGUAAAGCUCUGUUGUUAGGGAAGAACAAGUGCCGUUCAAAUAGGGCGGCACCUUGACGGUACCUAACCAGAAAGCCACGGCUAACUACG